rnacentral:rRNA from 1 species
CAGCAGCCGCGGGAAUACGAAGGGGGCUAGCGUUGCUCGGAAUGACUUGGCGUAAAGGGCGCGUAGGCGGCGAUCAAAGUCAGGCGUGAAAUUCCUGGGCUCAACCUGGGGGCUGCGUUUGAUACUUGAUUGCUAGAGUGGGGAAGAGGGUCGUGGAAUUCCCAGUGUAGAGGUGAAAUUCGUAGAUAUUGGGAAGAACACCGGUGGCGAAGGCGGCGACCUGGUCCUUGACUGACGCUGAGGCGCGAAAGCGUGGGGAGCAAACAGGAUUAGAUACCCCAGUAGUCCCUGUCUCUUAUAA